GCUGUUCAAUAAAAAAAAAUUAACAUUAACAUUUUAUUUAGUGAAAUUUAAACAAAAUAUUUAUAUCAGAGAUUGUGCUCUUCAUGUGUAAGAUUUCAUUGUGGUAUAACAACAACAGUGUUAUUUUCAUAAACACCAGGGAAAGCUAGGUUUUCGCACCCAAAUGACACCAAACAAUAUAACAAUUAUGCUGUUAAUGAUUCCAAAUCAACUUUUAAAUCUAAAGUAAUCUUAAGAUUUGUUCUUAUUUUUUCAAUGAAAAUAACUACAUUUAAUUGAAACUAAGACAAAGUUAUCAUAUAAAAAAACUUAUAUUCGUUUUAUUUGUUGUUUAAGCAUAACCGUUGCAACUUGAUAUCAUUUGAUAAGCUAUGAAUUUAUACACUGCUGUGCAUGAUGCAAGGCUUUUGCCUAGGUAUUCCUGUAGCUGCUAGUUCACUUUAUAUCAUGUAAAUAAACUGUACAUAUUUACACCUCAACUUCCAUUCCUUAAAUGAACUGCCUUUUGGCAAUUGCGUUCAUCAUUUAAUGAACGCAACAUCUUCGAAUAUGUUCGGAUCGCAAUUGAUCGCAUAACAAUAUACAUGAAAACUAUUGAUCUUGUUAUUGUUUGUAUAAUGUCAGCAGGUUCCGUAAAUUAUAAAUCAACAUUUUAGAAAGUGUUAAUAUAUUAUAUUUUAAAUGUAUUGUUGCCAUAAGUGUUUUAAUUUUACGUUUAAAAGUGAUUUCAGGUGGUUGAUCUUUUCCCGCGUUAUUGUGAUGUCAUUUGAAAAAAUGUUUCCGGUUACAGUCGGAUCGUUCUAUUUACAGAAUUGUUCCUUACCAGCAGUUAUAAUGCUGUGUACAGAGCUCCAAGCAACUGUUAAAGACAAUGUCAUUCUAGAAUGUUCAGCCAUCGGAAAUCCACAGCCUGUCAUUACCUUGGAGAAAUAUGGCGGCAUUCUUUUAUCUGGGCGAUACCGACAAAUUCAUGGUAACUUGUACCUGGACAACAUGACCGUCGAGGAUGAGGGGACCUACAUGUGUAAGGCCAACAAUGGCCUGAAUGCUCUGCAGCCUGACGGUAUCAAGAUUAUCAUGCUCAGAGCAUCCAAGUACUUGAGUAAAGCAGUGUGAGGUCAACAUUAGUCUUGCCUGGCGUAUAUAAUGCUUGUGUGUGCAGUGUUUGGUAGACCUGAGCCUGUCGUUACUUGGUACCACAGUGGCAACUUUCUUGGAAAUUUCACUGGACUACCACAUAUCAGUAGACGGUCAUGCCUAAUCACUCAUCAUCCUGGGAGGGUUUCUACAUCUACUACAAGCCAUACCACAGUAGUAAGCCCUUUCGAAACGCAACCCAACUUCAGUCCAGCAUGUGGGUCCAUUUACUUCAGGACAUACUGCCGGGACACAAAUGCCUCAUAACGUUGCAGCUCCUUUAGUAAUCAGGCAGUUAUGAUAACAACUGGCCAAGGCUCUUGAGACUCCAUAUAUCAUCAUCUUGCACAUGCCCACGCCCAAAUACAUGCCAGACAGCAAGGAUGUUGAUGAUGGUGAAUCCAAUCAAAAUGAGAUUCGUCAGCUAAGCUUAAAGCAGUGAAGAGAGAUGUUGUAAAUAAUAAAUACCCAGAUUUGCUCUUAGCUGGUGAUUGUGGUCAUGUUCAUGUGUUGGUGGAAAGAGUGACAGCAGCUAAGGAGAUGGGUAGAUAGGAGCAAAGAAUAGUAACUUUAUGCGAAUUACAAAAAUGGAAUGGGAGAGAUAGCUAGCUAUUGUAUGGCUACAUGUUACGACUUCUGGACAGAUGACAAACUGAAUUGUUAAUUCUUAUAUGUAAUUUUGUCUCGCCUAGUUCUUUUUAUAUAGUAUAUGCACUGUGUUGUUUGUGGAAUUUUGUGCUGUUGUUUCAUGUUUCUUGAUUGUGGUGUUUUGUUUUGUGUUCUUUUUCUUUGGCGUUUAUGAAAGGGUUGUAUAUGACCAAGUUGAAUCAUACUUCAAAGUAAACAAGUUAUUGUAUAAAUUUCAGACUGGGUUUAGAAGUGCCUCAUCAGAUACAUGUCUACAGUCAAACCUGUACUAAGUGGCCACCCUUGGGAAAUGAUCAAAGUGGCUGCUUAAGACAGGUGGCCACUUAAUCCAGGUUUAACAUUUCGCCACUUUAGCUUUAUUCAGAGAUGGAGUAUGUAUCUUAACCACCACCUCACACCACAAUCAGUAACAUUUGUAUCAAUAUAAUUAAAGAAGGUUGAAUACAAAUACAUUUGUAUAGAUAAAAUAACUUUAUUUCAAAUUUAUGAAUAAAAUACAUUAGAUAAAUGUUGAUACAAGGCAUAAACAAAACACUACAGCCGUUUUCUAAUAACUUUAUACAAUCGACACGUUCUUUUAGAGUCAAACACUUUCGAUUAGUAUUAUUUUCAGCCAUAAUCAAAGUAAAAAAAAUAUCAAGAACAAUGCAUUGUAAAUAUCCGUUCGUAGAAAUAUAAAUCCGUGCCCUUUGAAAAAUAAUAUUGAAGUGAAUAAAAAUCGUAACUCAUUUCACGCCUUCGAAUGACAAUGCAAACUGUGAAUUCAUAAUAACCGGUGUUUUGUCGGUAAUUAUUAAUUAACUUCGUAAUUAUUUAAUUAUCUUAUUAAUUGUGUCAAUUCUGAUGCAAACAUUCGCACACGUGUAAUAAACAUGAUUUUCUCAAUGAGUAAACACGCAUGGCAAUCGUGUCAUGCAAUAUUCAUUUUCAUUGGAUGACGGAGAUACCCGAGGCCGUCGUUCUUUUCCGAAACUUCUAUACGCAAUUAAAGCUGUGUAUUGGAAAAUUUAUAAGCGGAAGUGUCAGUGACAAGGGAUUAGUGGCCGCUAAUUAGUGUUUAUAUGGCUUCAUGGGGACAAAAAUUAGUGGCCGUGGCCGCGUUAGACAGUUGGCCGCUUAAUGCACGUACAUUAUAUAGUAAAAACGUACGGGGGGAAUUUGGAGUGGCCCGUUAAGGCAGGUGGCCAUUUAAAGCAGGUGACUGUUCAACCAGGUUUGACUGUAAUUCAUUUAACAGAUUUCAUAAGGAUGGAAAUGGACAAAGGUCACGUAGUAGGUAUGAUUCUGUUAGACCUCCAAAAGGCUUUCGAUACUGUCGACCACUCCACCCCUCUUAUGAAGCUUCGAUCAGCAGGACUUGGUGAUGACAUUUUAAGAUGGUUUGAAUCCUACCUUACAGGUAGAAAGCAACAGGUUGAUGUCUCCAGUACACAUACUACUACUUCUACUUUUACAUGUGGAGUUCCACUGGGUUUCAUACUAGGCCCUCUUUUAUUUUUUAUUUAUGUAAACAAUAUGUCAGCCGUGGUUAAAAACAACCUCUUGUUAUAUAUACGCUAAUGAUUCUGGCAUACUUGUUUCAGGUAAAUGUAAGUUUUCUGUGGAAACGUCAUUGAAAGAUGACCUGCAUCUUGUCAGUCAAUGGUUGGUUGAUAAUAAGUUGUCACUUCAUUUAGGCAAAACUGAGUCAAUUUUAUGUGGGUCUAAACAUAAAAUAAGGUCAGACUUGACACUUGAUAUUACAUGUAAUGGUACCACUAUUGAACCAACUUCUGCUGUUAAAUAUCUUGGUGCAACUAUUGAUCAGACUCUAUCUUUUGAUUCUAUGGCUUGUUCUAUAUUAAAAAUGGCUAAUACAAGAUUGAAAUAUCUAUAUCGAAAGAAAGGUUACCUUACAAAACACACCAAGAAACUCCUUGUCAUGGCCUUAAUUCAAUGCCAUCUUGAUUAUGCCUGUUCUAUGUGGCAUCAUGGUCUGACCAAGUUACUUAAAACCAAGCUCCAAACCACACAAAAUAAACUUAUGAGGUUUGUAUUGGAUCUAGAUGCAAGGUCUCACAUUGGCCCAGAACACUUUAAAUUACUCAACUGGUUACCUGUCAACAAACGUGUAGACCAGAUUAGUUUGGGUUAUUCUUUAGAAUAAAAAAUGGCAUAGCCCCGGACUACAUGGGAGACAAUUUUAUCUCCCAAGAUACUGUGCACACACAAAGGACAAGGUUAUGUCAGAAAGGGGCUUAUGCUGUUCCAGAGGUCAAAGGUUUUGGGUUAAAGUCCUUCUUUUCUGGUAUUUCCUUAUGGAACAAUGUGCCAUCUUGUAUCGCACAGACUAAGAAAUUACCUGUUUUUAAAUUGCUAGUAAAGAAUCUUUUUUUAGAUAAUUCGGCAUAAUUAGUUAUGUUAUUAAAAGGUUUUGUUUGUUUUUUCAUUUAUUUAUUCAAAGAUUUUCAGUAAAGGAACUAUUUUAACUUCACCUCGCAUUUUAUAAGUACUACAUACUGUCAUAUUCAUACUAUAUUGUUAUAAUUAUAUUUAACUUUCUCAACUUAUAACUUUAUGUUACUAAAUUAUGUAAAGUGACUUUGAUACAACUAUGGCAAUAUUUAUUUUAAUGCAUAAAGACUAACUUUUAAUAUAUUUGUGCAAUUUUGAUUACAGCUAUAUUAUUACUUAAAUAUGCAAUGCCUCCCUAUGCUAAUUUAAGCCACCAAAACAAAGGACCACAAUGGAAAUAAGAGUUUUCUCUUUUGUGUCAUCCUUGGUUCGGUGUGCCUGUCAUGGCUAUUGAAAAGAUCAUGUAUGUAUAAUGUUAUUUACUAUACAUGUUGUUUAUUUUAAAUGUCCAUGUAUGUGCAUUCCUUACUGAAAUAAAUCUAUCUAUCUA